UCUGGGAUGGGGUUCAGGGGCUGCGUGUUUCUCUAUCGGCCAUGGACUCUGCCCUGUUUCUGGAAGGACAUGGGGCAAGUCAGCCCUGUGGACAAACAUUUCUCCUUAUCCUGUCCCAGUGCCAGCUCCACGG
rnacentral:ncRNA from 2 species